rnacentral:ncRNA from 1 species
CGGCGAGCGAAAUGGGAGCAGCCUAAACCGUGAAAACGGGGUUGUGGGAGAGCAAUACAAGCGUUGUGCUGCUAGGCGAAGCGGUUGAGUGCCGCACCCUAGAUGGCUAAAGUCCAGUAGCCGAAAGCAUCACUAGCUUAUGCUCUGACCCGAGCAGCAUGGGGCACGUGGAAUCCCGUGUGAAUCAGCAAGGACCACCUUGCA